GACGAACGCUGGCGGCGUGCUUUAACACAUGCAAGUCGAACGAAGAGCGAUGGAAGCUUGCUUCUAUCAAUCUUAGUGGCGAACGGGUGAGUAACGCGUAAUCAACCUGCCCUUCAGAGGGGGACAACAGUUGGAAACGACUGCUAAUACCGCAUACGAUCCAAUCUCGGCAUCGAGACUGGAUGAAAGGUGGCCUCUAUUUAUAAGCUAUCACUGAAGGAGGGGAUUGCGUCUGAUUAGCUAGUUGGAGGGGUAACGGCCCACCAAGGCGAUGAUCAGUAGCCGGUCUGAGAGGAUGAACGGCCACAUUGGGACUGAGACACGGCCCAGACUCCUACGGGAGGCAGCAGUGGGGAAUCUUCCGCAAUGGACGAAAGUCUGACGGAGCAACGCCGCGUGAGUGAUGACGGCCUUCGGGUUGUAAAGCUCUGUUAACCGGGACGAAUGGUUCUUGUGCGAAUAGUGCGAGGAUUUGACGGUACCGGAAUAGAAAGCCACGGUAA
rnacentral:rRNA from 1 species